UCAAUGAUUAGGCUCCUACACCAGGUAC
rnacentral:piRNA from 1 species